rnacentral:rRNA from 1 species
UACGAAGGGGGCUAGCGUUGCUCGGAAUGACUGGGCGUAAAGGGCGCGUAGGCGGAUGGCUUUGUCGGGCGUGAAAUUCCAGGGCUUAACCUUGGGGCUGCGUUCGAGACGGGUUGUCUUGAGUGGGGAAGAGGGUCGUGGAAUUCCCAGUGUAGAGGUGAAAUUCGUAGAUAUUGGGAAGAACACCGGUGGCGAAGGCGGCGACCUGGUCCUUUACUGACGCUGAGAUGCGAAAGCGCGGGGAGCGAACGGG